CGGCUGCAAGGCAGUGGUGGCACUCUGCAGCCAGCCGGCCCACCCCUCCAACAUCUGCAAGGGGGUGGGAGGCUGCCUCACCAAGCUACCUGCUACUCAUGGGGGCGAUGGGCAUCAGGGUGGCCUGCCUGGAGCUUCCCUUUGCAACCAAGGUUGAUUCCCACAGUCAGUCUCUCCCCCAGAGAACACGAAGGAAGAUGCCUGAGGGACAACAUGAACUUGUCAGGAACAGGGGCCUGGGAGGAGUGCGGAUGUGGGCUCAGGUACGCGCAUGCACCUUGAGUGUGUGCAUGUGGGGGUCAGUGUGCAAGCCUGCCGUGGUGUGUGUGGGUCCGUGGGGGUCCCCAUGUUCCCGGGUCUAUGUGGGUGGGGUGGUAUGCACUAUGUGUGUUUAGGGUGCUUGUGCAUGUGUGACUGUGUACAUAUCUGCAUUCAUUCCUCUGUGUGUGCGUCUGUGUGUGUCUGUGUGUGUGUCUG
rnacentral:lncRNA from 1 species